rnacentral:misc_RNA from 1 species
UAUAAAUUGGACUCCAUAGCCACUUCACGGCGCAAUUCCAACAUUGUGCACCAAAGCCAGUAAAUAAGUAUCAUAAUUGUUUCAAAUAGAAAAAAAAAAGUAUCAUAAUAAUAUAAAAAGCAAAAUUAAGCUACCAAUUCAGCUUUUACAGUCGCAUAAAAUUUGGUAUACGAUGCCAAGCCACAUGAUUCUAAAGAUCUAGUAAAUUUGCACAAUGCUUAUUUCAUAAA